AUUGAACGCUAGCGGGAUGCUUUACACAUGCAAGUCGAACGAGUGGCGGACGGGUGAGUAAUAUAUCGGAACGUGCCCAGUAGAGGGGGCUAACUACUCGAAAGAGUGGCUACUACCGCCUACUAUUGGAGCGGCAGAUAUCGGAUUAGCUAGUUGGUGGGGUAAAGGAUAACCAAGGCAACGAUCCGUAGCUGGUUUGAGAGGACGACCAGCCACACUGGAGCUGAGACACGGCCCAGACUCCUACGGGAGGCAGCAGUGGGGAAUGUUGGACAAUGGGGGAAACCCUGAUCCAGCCAUCCCGCGUUUAUGAGAAGGCCUUCGGGUGGUAAAGUACUUUUGGCAGAGAAGCGGUAUCUGCAGAAUAAGCACCGGCUAACUACGUGCCAGCAGCCGCGGUAAUAC
rnacentral:rRNA from 1 species